GCGUAAAGCGCGUGUAGGCGGCCGGGUAAGUUGGACGUGAAAGCUCCUGGCUCAACUAGGAGAGGUCGUUCAAAACUGCCUGGCUAGAGGGCGACAGAGGGAGGUGGAAUUCCCGGUGUAGUGGUGAAAUGCGUAGAUACCGGGAGGAACACCAGUGGCGAAGGCGGCCUCCUGGGUCGCUCCUGACGCUCAGACGCGAAAGCUAGGGGAGCAAACGGGAUUAGAUACCCCGGUAGUCCUAGCUGUAAACGAUGUGGACUUGGCGUUGGUGGGGUCAAAUCCAUCAGUGCCGUAGCUAACGCGAUAAGUCCACCGCCUGGGGACUACGACCGCAAGGUUAAAACUCAAAGGAAUUGGCGGGGGCCCGCACAAGCAGCGGAGCGUGUGGUUUAAUUCGAUGCUACACGAAGAACCUUACCCGGGUUUGACAUCCAGGUGGUAGGGAACCGAAAGGCGACCGACCCUUCGGGGAGCCUGGACAGGUGCUGCAUGGCUGUCGUCAGCUCGUGUCGUGAGAUGUCCGGUUAAGUCCGGUAACGAGCGCAGCCCUUGCUGUAUGUUACAUGUGUCAUACAGGACUGCCGGUUUAGUGCCGGAGGAAGGCGGGGAUGACGUCAAGUCAGCAUGGCCUUUAUAUCCGGGGCUACACACACGCUACAAUGGCCAGUACAACAGGUUGCAAAACCGCGAGGUGGAGCCAAUCCCCAAAACUGGCCUCAGUUCAGAUUGCACGCUGCAACUCGCCUGCAUGAAGUCGGAGUUGCUAGUAA
rnacentral:rRNA from 1 species